rnacentral:rRNA from 1 species
UAUGUGAUCGUCUCUCGCAUAUCAAUAAGCGGAGGAAAAGAAACUAACAAGGAUUCCCCUAGUAACGGCGAGUGAAGCGGGAAGAGCUCAAAUUUGAAAUCUUAAAGGGUUUCCCUUUACGAAUUGUAGUUUAAAGAAGUGUUUUCUGUUGAGGUUUUGGUAAAAGUUCUUUGGAAUAGGACAUCAUAGAGGGUGAGAAUCCCGUAUUUGACCUUUACUUUCAACUUUGUGAUACACUUUCAAAGAGUCGGAUUGUUUGGGAAUGCAGUCCAAAAUGGGUGGUAAAUUUCAUCUAAAGCUAAAUAUUGGCGAGAGACCGAUAGCGAACAAGUACCGUGAGGGAAAGAUGAAAAGAACUUUGAAAAGAGAGUUAAACAGUACGUGAAAUUGUCAAAAGGGAAGCGUUUGACACCAGUGUUGUUUUUCUGAAAAUCAAUUAAAGAACUGUUUAUGCUAAGUUGUUUAGACUUUAUCAGCUAACUGUUUAGUUUUGAGCUUUUCUUUAAUGCACUUUUCAGUUAACAAGUCAACAUCAAUUUCUUUUGCUGUAAAGAAGCUUGAGGAAGGUGGCUUGAGAUUCGUCUUAAGUGUUUAUAGCCUCUUGCCUAUGCAGUCGGAGAGAUCGAGGUCUGCAGCGUAGAUCCUUCGGGGCUAAAUGCAUUUGUGCUAAGUUAUAGCAUUUUAUAGACAACUUGUUGACUAUGAUUUGUCUUGUAGCUUACUCGCUUAUGUUAUUUUACCUACGCUUAGGAUGUUGAAUCUGUGCGAGACUAC